rnacentral:rRNA from 1 species
AUUGAACGCUGGCGGCAUGCCUUACACAUGCAAGUCGAACGGUAACGGGCCUUCGGGUGCCGACGAGUGGCGAACGGGUGAGUAAUGCAUCGGAACGUACCUUUCAGUGGGGGAUAACGUAGCGAAAGUUACGCUAAUCCCGCAUAAUCUGUGAGCAGGAAAGCAGGGGAGCGCAAGACCUUGCCCUGAUUGAGCGGCCGAUGUCAGAUUAGCUAGGUGGUGAGGUAAAGGCUCACCAAGGCGACGAUCUGUAGCGGGUCUGAGAGGAUGAUCCGCCACACUGGGACUGAGACACGGCCCAGACUCCUACGGGAGGCAGCAGUGGGGAAUUUUGGACAAUGGGGGCAACCCUGAUCCAGCCAUGCCGCGUGAGUUAAGAAGGCCUUCGGGUUGUAAAGCUCUUUCGGCCGGGAAGAAAUCGCACAGGCUAAUACCUUGUGUGGAUGACGGUACCGGAAUAAGAAGCACCGGCUAACUUCGUGCCAGCAGCCGCAGUAACAC